rnacentral:lncRNA from 1 species
CAUAGGAUGCUAGUAAAUGGUACUUGAUUUAAUUUUGGAUUCAAACACCCAUUGAAGUCAAUGGAAGUCUUUUAACUGACAAAAUGGAAUCUGCAUUGAAGUUCCUAAGAAUAAAGAAGAGGCAAAAAAAAAAAAGGAAGAAAGGAAUAGUGGUAAUGUGCAAAAAACCCCACAGAAGAUUCUUGAUGCUAGUGUUGCAGUUUAUCAUAAAGAGUGGUUCUCAUCUGCGUUUGAGUGGGGGACAUCACUCCUCGUCUUAGGUAAAGCUAGGUGCAGAAACCUGGACAUCUUACUGCACUAUAUUCCAUUAAUGAUCAUUUAUGGCAGGCCCUUUUCCUGCCUUACUUGUGUAACAGUAGUAGCCCAAAGAAUACUCUGUUUUUUUCCUGUUGUAUACUUCCUCUGAUCUUUCUGGGAUAUUUGAAUAUAAUGUAGCAACAACUGUUUUAAGACUUUCACAAUUUUCAAAGUCUGUUCUUGAAAUCAGCUGUUACUAGGGAAAUAGUGGAAUAAAGCAGAGAGAUUUAUGUAGCAACAUUCAAAGAAUGAGCUUAAAGUAUAG